UCUCAACAAAAUGAUUGAUACGCUAAUUAAUAAAACAUGUCAAAGACUUUUCACUAAUGGCAAAAUUUACACCCAACUACAAUUUUUAUUCUUUUUUUUUUUUUAAUUUCUGUUUACGUGAACAGUACUGUUCACGUAUGACGUCACUGUUCAUCGUGAAUAGUAAUUACUGUUCACUCAUUAUUUUAUUUUAUUAUUAUUUUUUUUAACAUCCUAUUUAUACUUAUGCAGUAAGUAAAAACGUGACAUCACUUUCACCCAAUUAAUACCAUCAAUUUGGGUCUCAUUAAUUACACAUGCAUGGCCUCAAUCAAUUACCCAUCUUGAAAAGAAACAACUUGACGUACAGUACACCCAAAAUUCUCAAUUCAUGUGAUAAGAUCAACCAUACUCUAUUAUGUGUUAUUCUGAAUAAUUGAUUAUGAAUAAAGUUUUGGUUCCACCAAUAUAAAAUAAUGGAAAUAAACCAUAAAAACAUAUCAAAAAGAAAAACUGUAUCCCAAAUCUUGAAUCACUGAUCCACAUAAUAAUAAAAUUAAAACAAAAGCUAAAAAUAAAAUCUUUGGUCACGUUA
rnacentral:lncRNA from 1 species